rnacentral:rRNA from 1 species
AAGCUUGCUUCUUUCGAAUCUAGUGGCAAACGGGUGAGUAACACGUAAACAACCUGCCUUCAGGAUGGGGACAACAGACGGAAACGACUGCUAAUACCGCAUGACACAUAGAGAUCGCAUGGUUUUUAUGUCAAAGAUUUAUCGCUGAAAGAUGGCCUCGCGUCUGAUUAGCUAGUUGGUGAGGUAACGGCCCACCAAGGCGACGAUCAGUAGCCGGACUGAGAGGAUGAACGGCCACACUGGAACUGAGACACGGCCCAAACUCC